UUGUGGUUGAUUUGCUUGUUGUAUUGCAUUACUAGCGCUAUCCAGUUCCUUUCUACAAAUGUAGCCAUACGUAGCCUAUUAGUAUUUUAAAUUGACAUAUAUUUAGUUUGUGUUAUUGAUGUGUGUGCGUGUUUGGGGGGGGCCGCUGCCGUCAGAAUUUUCCCGGUGGAUUUUAGUGCCCCACUCCGCCCCUGGAUCUAGUGUUACCUUGGUAGCGGGGUCAUAGAUCUAGAAGACCUUGGCUGUGCCACAGAAAGUGAUGUGUUUGCCGCAAUGAUUCACCCGGCCGUCGUUGACUUCUUUUUCCGACGUGACAAAGUUAAUUGGAAGAAACACCAACACCAAGUGGACCUGAUUGGCAACUAUCCCCUGAUCAAACUCGGUUGGUGUCCUACCGGAUCGUGCUUGAAUGGGCCCUACAAGGUGAAGUUUUGGGGAGAGCAUCGGAAACCACUACCAUCAUGUGUUGUUGUGGCCAUAAGACGAAAAUAUCCUUCUGAAUCAGGUGUUUAUAUUGGAUUCCAAGAAGUAAAUGAGGCAGUGGACAUAAGCCUACUGUAAAUGGACGAUGUGCUCGAUGUCUGCUUAUAUUUCCCACUAUCUGUGGGACACACACUGCACCUUAUCUCAGUAGUAGGCUACCUGUUUGUAUUUUUCCAUAUUACUAGCAUUAGGCCUACUGUCUCACCAUCACUUUAUUUUCAAUUUCCCCUUUUGUAUUACAUUGCACAUCAUUAGUCAGUCUGUACAUUACCCUGCUCUCUGAAUCGAUAGGCUACACUGUAAAAACUGUUACUUGGAUCUAACUCAAUAAAAUUAAGACAACAUUUUCGGCAUCUCUGUAUCUUUGAUGUACAGUAUAUAAAUAAAUCUUUGAACCUACA